GAUGCAUAAUGUUGGCAAAACUCUUGUUACUAUUUUUAGAAAUAUACCAACAGAAGAAAAUGAGAUUUUGACAUUUUGAACUGCCAAUGUAUCAGCCCUUAUCAAUGAGAGUAAUAUAUAAGGCCUUUAGCAUAUGCCUAAUAAGUCAGAAGACCACUGAAGAAGACUCUUUGUCAAAAUGCUUUUAGCUGCACUUUGUUUUUGUA